GGCUGCAGGCGGGGCCGAGCGCUCGCUGCGCGAACCGGCAGCCCCGCAGGCUGCCGGCAGCCCCCGGCCCAGGCGGCCGGACCCGGUGCGCGCUGCCUGGCGGCUCCGGCGGGGGCAUGUGGAUGUUGGCCGUCGCCUUGCUCCACAGCAUCUCGCACGGAGAUGUAGAGGCAAACAUCACUGCUCUAUGCCUUCUGCCAAACAACUGAGUCCUCCCCACCAUAUGACUGCGUCCUGUGUGCUGUUCCUGUAUCCCAGGAUGCUAGGGGCCAAGAUCUCUGGCAGAAAGUGAGAACAUGAACAAGAGAGGUCUGCUCUAUAUUUUUGAGCUUCUAUGGAUUACUUCAUGACUUGAAAGAUAUGACAAAGUCCGCAUCUUCUGCUUAUCUGGAAACAUUUUGCAUUAGUGAAACUUAUGUUCAGUAUUCA